UGGGGAAUUUUGGACAAUGGGCGCAAGCCUGAUCCAGCCAUGCCGCGUGUCUGAAGAAGGCCUUCGGGUUGUAAAGGACUUUUGUCGGGGAGGAAAUCCCUAGUGUUAAUAGCACUGGGGGAUGACAGUACCUGAAGAAUAAGCACCGGCUAACUACGUGCCAGCAGCCGCGGUAAUACGUAGGGUGCGAGCGUUAAUCGGAAUUACUGGGCGUAAAGCGUGCGCAGGCGGUUAGAUAAGCCAGAUGUGAAAUCCCCGAGCUCAACUUGGGAACUGCGUUUGGAACUGUUUAACUAGAGUGCGUCAGAGGGGGGUGGAAUUCCGCGUGUAGCAGUGAAAUGCGUAGAGAUGCGGAGGAACACCGAUGGCGAAGGCAGCCCCCUGGGAUGACACUGACGCUCAUGCACGAAAGCGUGGGGAGCAAACAGG
rnacentral:rRNA from 1 species